UACGUAGGGGGCAAGCGUUGUCCGGAUUUAUUGGGCGUAAAGAGCGUGUAGGCGGUUUGGUAGGUCCGUUGUGAAAACUCGAGGCUCAACCUCGAGACGCCGAUGGAAACCAUCAGACUAGAGUCCGGAAGAGGAGAGUGGAAUUCCUGGUGUAGCAGUGAAAUGCGUAGAUAUCAGGAGGAAUACCGAUGGCGAAGGCAGGUCUCUGGGCUGACACUGACGCUCAUGCACGAAAGCGUGGGGAGCAAACAGG
rnacentral:rRNA from 1 species